GAUGAACGCUGGCGGCGUGCCUAAUACAUGCAAGUCGAGCGAACAGACGAGGCUCUUGCUGCUCUGACGUUUGCGGCGCACGGGUGAGUCACGCGUGGAUCAUCUACCUAUCUUUCUGGUAUAACUUCGAGACACCGGCGAUAACACCGGAUAAUCUAUUGCACCGCAUGGUUCAAUAGUGAAUGACGGUUUUUCUGUCUCUUCUAGCUGGUUCCGCGCUGCAUUAGCUAGUUGGUAGGGUAACGGCUUACCAAGGCAACGAGGCGUAGCCGACCUGAGGGACGGGUCGGCCACAUGGGAGCUGGGACGCGGACCAGAGGCCUACGGGAGGCAGCAGAAGGGAAUGGGCGGCAAUGGGCGAAAGCCUGACGCAGCAGCGCGGCGUGUGAGAUGAAGGCCUUCGGAUCGUAAAACUCGGUUAUGAGGGAAGAACAAAUGUGUAAGUAGCUAUGCACGUCGUGACGGUACUGAAUCAGAAAGCCCCGGCUAACUACGUG
rnacentral:rRNA from 1 species